CUGGUAGAUCACUUCAGUGAUCGCCGGGAGCUCUUUCGAACCAGAUGGUUAUUUCGGGGUAGCAUUAGAACGUGUUUAGAUCGCGGUAUCGGUACUUUCAGCUUUGUUACUUAAUUGAAUAUCCACAUGCCGAAUAAAAAUCAAAAUUAUCUAAUCUUGCGCGUUGUCGACUGUUUCCUCAGUUUACCAUAUUUUCCGGCCAAAGGACCGGUCAACUCUGGACAAAUUUUCCCGAGAAGUUGCGGCAUUCAUUAGGGUCUUCAAGUAUUCGGACAUCUUUUGGAAAAUGGAGUCGUUUCCUGGGUCAAUGGAGAGAGGCCUUCGAUGAAUCUUGCGGUUAUCACCAUUUGCUAAUACUACGGCGAAAGGAAGCUAUCGCAGGAUAAUAUCGAGGAUUGUAGUUCGGAUUGUAGUUCGGGGUCGCAGGAAAUGGAAGAGCCCGUUAUGUAAUAGGAGUAGGUCCCGGUAUUCGAAUGGACAGGAUCAAUCGUGCUUUUGUAGGCACAAGUUGCGCUUAGUUCGAGCUCCUCUCCAAUUUUGGCUUGUUUUUUCAUGUCAAAAUGGCGACGUCCCUUUAUUUCCUACGUGUGUGACUUUAACAUUCGUCGGGUGUUGUAAUGUUCUGCGACGGCAUGCGUGUUCUGGGAAUCAUGGAGGAUUUGUCGACUCAUUGAGUUUCGUUCACCGGAAAAACGUUUUGGUAACGCCACGUGCCUAGAGCCCCUGAUUUCUUUGGCAUGAAAUUUAACCAAAGCCUCAACAAUCUCUUUGGUGGCAAGGAUUGAGGAGUAUACUACUUUGUGUGGUAAAAAGAUGGGGAAAGUUUCGUCUUUAAUUAGCGUUCAUGCAUUAAAAAAUCUCGGAUACGUAUACCUGCACGUUCGCCGUCGCGGAAAGUUUUCGCGGUCCUUACGCGGAAUGUAUUCGUAGUGGUAUUCGCGGCUUUCGUUCGUUCGGUGUUUGUUAACUGCGCCGCGUGUGAUUUGUGAGUGUUCAUAUAAUUCAACAGGAAGAGAUCCUUGGGAUUUAAUUUCUUGCUCCUUAAUAUACAUAUACCGUGGACCAUGAAAUUACGGGGAAAUCUGUGCCACAUGGUGAAAUUUUCUGGAUCAUGGAAAAGAUGAAUUCCUAUCCUACAGCCAGCGAUGGACACCGCAACCGCCAGAGAUUACUAAAAAAGGACAUCGCUAUGCAGCUAUGGGGGGCGCAAGGUGA